AUCCGACUGUCUAAUUAAAACAAAGCAUUGGGAUGGCCCUAACGGGUGUUGACGCAAUGUGAUUUCUGCCCAGUGCUCUGGACGUCAACGUGAAGAAAUUCAAAAAAGCUCUGGUCAACGGCGGGAGUAACUAAGACUCUCUUUAGAGGUCAGAAGAAAGAGAGUCCAAUGGUAAAGAAUGGGUCGAGAU
rnacentral:misc_RNA from 13 species